rfam:Schistosoma mansoni, Puerto Rico, WGS project CABG01000000 data, contig: 0135
AUCCAGCUGACGAGUCCCAAAUAGGACGAAACGAGCGUCCUCGAU